rnacentral:rRNA from 1 species
UACGGAGGAUCCGAGCGUUAUCCGGAUUUAUUGGGUUUAAAGGGUGCGCAGGCGGGGGAUUAAGUCGGCGGUGAAAUUUUGCAGCUCAACUGUAAAAGUGCCUUCGAAACUGGUUUCCUUGAGUGUAGAUGAAGUAGGCGGAAUUUGUGGUGUAGCGGUGAAAUGCAUAGACAUUACACAGAACACCGAUUGCGAAGGCAGCUUACUAAUCCAUCAUUGACGCUGAGGCACGAAAGCGUGGGGAUCAAACAGGAUUAGAUACCCGUGUAGU